CGAUGAGUUUGACAAAAUGGCCGA
rnacentral:piRNA from 1 species